GUCGAGCGCUACCUUCGGGUGGAGCGGCGGACGGGUUAGUAACGCGUGGGAAUAUACCCUUCACUAAGGAAUAGCCACUGGAAACGGUGAGUAAUACCUUAUACGCCCUUCGGGGGAAAGAUUUAUCGGUGAAGGAUUAGCCCGCGUUAGAUUAGAUAGUUGGUGGGGUAACGGCCUACCAAGUCGACGAUCUAUAGCUGGUUUGAGAGGAUGAUCAGCAACACUGGGACUGAGACACGGCCCAGACUCCUACGGGAGGCAGCAGUGGGGAAUCUUAGACAAUGGGCGCAAGCCUGAUCUAGCCAUGCCGCGUGAGUGAUGAAGGUCUUAGGAUCGUAAAGCUCUUUCGCCAGGGAUGAUAAUGACAGUACCUGGUAAAGAAACCCCGGCUAACUCCGUGCCAGCAGCCGCGGUAAUACGGAGGGGGUUAGCGUUGUUCGGAAUUACUGGGCGUAAAGCGUACGUAGGCGGAUUGGAAAGUUGGGGGUGAAAUCCCAGGGCUCAACCCUGGAACUGCCUCCAAAACUAACAGUCUAGAGUUCGAGAGAGGUGAGUGGAAUUCCAAGUGUAGAGGUGAAAUUCGUAGAUAUUUGGAGGAACACCAGUGGCGAAGGCGGCUCACUGGCUCGAUACUGACGCUGAGGUACGAAAGUGUGGGGAGCAAACAGGAUUAGAUACCCUGGUAGUCCACACCGUAAACGAUGAAUGCCAGUCGUCGGGCAGUAUACUGUUCGGUGACACACCUAACGGAUUAAGCAUUCCGCCUGGGGGAGUACGGUCGCAAGAUU
rnacentral:rRNA from 1 species